AUUUAACUUUUAUUUUUUAUUUAAAAUAAAAUAAUAUAAUUUAGAGUUACAGUAAAAAUACUUUAAUAUAUUAAAAAGACGAUAAGACCCUAAAAGCUUAAUUUUAAUAAUAAUAAUUUAAUCAAUAAAAAUAUUAUAUAAAUUUUUUACUGGGGUAGUAAUUAAAUUUAUUUUUUUUUUUUUUACAUUUAGUUUAUAUAUUCCUUUAUAUAAAGAUAAAAGAUAAGUUACUUUAGGGAUAACAGCGUUAUAUUAUUAAAAAGAUCAUAUUUAUAAUAAUGUUUACGACCUCGAUGUUGAAUUAAUAUAAACUUUAUAAAGCAACAUUU
rnacentral:rRNA from 1 species